rnacentral:lncRNA from 1 species
UAAAUCCUAAGUGCUUAAGGGUUCGGAGGCGGAGGCAUUCUCUGAAGCAGCAUAGCAAGCAUGUUCUGGAUGUUUUCGUUGACAGUAUCUUGCUUGUCCAUUCUGGCCCGAAGUUCAUUCUGAUCUUGCUUGAGUUCUUUCAGAGUCUGAAGAACCGUAGGGAUCACAGAAGAUGACUCCCCCAGAGUCAGAGCUUGCUGAGCUUCAGCUUCAGCAGCAGCUUGAGCUUCUGCAUCUGCCAGAGCCUUUGCUUCAGCUUC